CCUGAUAGCUCAGUUGGUAAAGAAUCUGCCUGAAAUGCAGGAGACCCAGGUUUGAUUCCUGGGUCAGGA
rnacentral:tRNA from 1 species